rnacentral:rRNA from 1 species
GAUGAACGCUAGCGGCGGGCCUAAUACAUGCAAGUUGAACGGGAUUGUUGAUAGCAAUAUUGACAUGAGAGUGGCGCACGGGUGCGUAACACGUAUGUAACCUACCUUUAACUGGGGCAUAGCUUCGAGAAAUCGAAAUUAAUACCCCAUAACAUUUAGAAAAGGCAUCUUUUCUUUAUCAAAGCUCCGGCGGUUAAGGAUGGACAUGCGGUGCAUUAGCUUGUUGGUGAGGUAACGGCUCACCAAGGCUACGAUGCAUAGGGGGUCUGAGAGGAUGACUCCCCCACACUGGUACUGAGACACGGACCAGACUCCUACGGGAGGCAGCAGUAGGGAAUAUUGGGCAAUGGACGAAAGUCUGACCCAGCCACGCCGCGUGAAGGAUAAAUGCCCUCUGGGUUGUAAACUUCUUUUGUAUGGGAAGAAAAUUCCGAACGUGUUCGGAGCUGACGGUACCAUAAGAAUAAGCAUCGGCUAACUCCGUGCCAGCAGCCG